UGUCAGACUCUCUUUGUGUUGGCGCAGACACAGUUGUGUGAGUUGGGCUCCCCUUCCCAUGCAGGGUGAUCUCUAGAAGCGUGUCUACUCUUCAUCGAGGACACAGGCCUCUGCAUGGAAUUUUAACUGUUAUGUUCACUUCAUUGUGACCUGAGCUGCUGGGCUGCACUGAAACGGAACAUUCACCUUGUCUCCUCAUGUGUGUGAAUGCUGUGGGACAGUUUGAGCAUACUGAAAAGUAGGCCUAUAUUUUCUAGUUAUGUUUGAGUUGGCUACACUAUCCUGUUUAACAAUGCUGUCAACUAACAUGCUUGGUUUCUCUUUAAAAGGGACCAGGCCAGCCACUGUUUUUGAGUAAUUAAUACGCAUUUCUUUGUUUUUUUGUUUGUUUGGUUAGCUGUGAUUUUGCCUCGAGGCCUACCACCGGUGCCUCCAUUCAUAGUAGCCUAUUUCAUUGUUUCAUUGUUUCAACUAGUCUGGUGCUAUUGAUGCUGGUGGGUUUCCUCCUUAACGCUGUCUUCUCUGUAGGCUAUCCCUGUACAAGGCCGGAUCCUUACUGAUGCUUUGCCCCUGGUCGGGGGACCACACUGGAGGGACACUGUAGUGGUGUGUACGUAUACUGUAGCUACAACACGGUGUGAUAUUUUGUAGUGGUAUUUAAAAAGAUCUUAAGUGUGUAGUGCUUGCUGUGUUGCAUGCUUCGUUGGUGUUGGGUUGCUGUCUCCUGUUUUCUGUCUCACCAGGGGCCUCCUGAGCAGGGGUUCUGCAUCGGCCGAUCCGAUCUUCCUAGGCUGAGGAAUCCACCAGUAUUUUGUGUAGCAGUAUUUUAAGACCUGUCCAUAACUUUUCGAUACC